rnacentral:piRNA from 1 species
UNGCUCUUACUCUGUGGCCUGGUCUG